AUUGAACGCUGGCGGCAUGCCUAACACAUGCAAGUCGAACGGCAACAGGUUAAGCUGUCGCGUGGAGAACGGGCGAGUGACGUAUGGGAAAGUGCUACGUCGUGGGCGACUAUUGCUUGAAAGAGAAGCUAAUACAGCAUACGACAUGAGGGCGUACGCGGGGGGUCGGAAGACAUGGGGCGAUUGGAGCGGCCGCUAUCAGAUUAGGUAGUUGGGGAGGUAAAGGCUCACCAAGGCGACGAUCUGUAGCUGGUCUGAGAGGAGGAGCAGCCACACUGGAACUGAGACACGGCCCAGACUCCUACGGGAGGCAGCAGUGGGGAAUAUUGGACAAAGGGCGCAAGCCUGAUCCAGCCAUGCCGCGUGCGUGAAGAAGGCCUUCGGGUUGUAAAGCGCUUUUGUUAGGGAAGAAAAGGUGCUGGCUAAUACCUGGGUCUCAUGACGGUACCUAAAGAAUAAGCACCGGCUAACUACGUG
rnacentral:rRNA from 1 species